UACGUAGGGGGCAAGCGUUGUCCGGAUUUACUGGGCGUAAAGAGCGUGUAGGCGGCUAUACAGGUCCGUUGUGAAAACUCGAGGCUCAACCUCGAGACGCCGAUGGAAACCGUAUGGCUAGAGUCCGGAAGAGGAGAGCGGAAUUCCUGGUGUAGCGGUGAAAUGCGCAGAUAUCAGGAAGAACACCCGUGGCGAAGGCGGCUCUCUGGGACGGUACUGACGCUGAGACGCGAAAGCGUGGGGAGCGAACAGG
rnacentral:rRNA from 1 species